CAAGAUAUCUGUGCAGUUUACUCGCAGGCUUACAGACAAGAAACAUCGAGUUGAGAAUCUGUGACCAGUUCAGCGGAUAUUUGUAUCUAGACGUUACCAGUGCGCCGCAAGAAGACGACAGAAAUGAAGAGCACAAUUGUUACAUCACUGUUUGUGGUUUUGCUGAUGUCAUUGACAUACGUCAACACAAUGGCCGAUGACACGGACAGUGGCAGCUGGUACAGUCCAGGAAACCUGUUUUACAACACGUUAGAAGUUAUCGAUUACAUUUCGUCAGAUGAAAAGGUGUGCGGGGCCUGGAUUGAACAAGACGGCGUACACGUGGAUCUCUGCAAAGGCAGAGUUUUUGUGCUGUAAAUAACGCUAUCAACGACGGUAUGACCGCAGGAUGGCCCGUUUGCCACUUAAGUUGCUACGUCAUCAGUGAUGAAUGCUACAAUUAUUGAUUUGAACUUCCAGAAAGAACUAUCUACCAGUUGAGGGCAGUAUACAGUCUAAGACCAAGAAAAACACAUUGCACUGCAUUUAUUUGAAGAACGUUUACAGCGAGAUGAAAAGUCCCACUGAAGCAACUUUUUAAAGAAUUGUUGUGUUGAGUAAUUCAAAAAUCUGUUUUUUGAGUUUGAAACUGUUUAAGUGUUCAUUUGAAAAAUAUGUAAUGUACGCUACCGUGGUUUACACGUCGGAUUUGCCUUUGUUUGGUUUUGGCUUUGAUAGAGACAAAAGUACAUUUCUUUAAUAUUUGUGUAAAUAUUCUAUUUUUACAACUAUUGAAAUUCGAUGAAUAAUGUUAUAAUGUAUAUAUAUCUGACUGAUAUUAAGGCAGAUUAUUAUUUUAUACAAUCACGAAUAAAAUACGCAUCUUGUUUUUA